GACGAACGCUGGCGGCGUGCCUAAUACAUGCAAGUAGAACGCUGAAGGAGGAGCUUGCUUCUCUGGAUGAGUUGCGAACGGGUGAGUAACGCGUAGGUAACCUGCCUGGUAGCGGGGGAUAACUAUUGGAAACGAUAGCUAAUACCGCAUAAUAGUAGAUGUUGCAUGACAUUUGCUUAAAAGGUGCAAUUGCAUCACUACCAGAUGGACCUGCGUUGUAUUAGCUAGUUGGUGGGGUAACGGCUCACCAAGGCGACGGUACAUAGCCGACCUGAGAGGGUGAUCGGCCACACUGGGACUGAGACACGGCCCAGACUCCUACGGGAGGCAGCAGUAGGGAACCUUCGGCAAUGGACGGAAGUCUGACCGAGCAGCGCCGCGUGAGUGAAGAAGGUUUUCGGAUCGUAAAGCUCUGUUGUAAGAGAAGAACGAGUGUGAGAGUGGAAAGUUCACACUGUGACGGUAUCUUACCAGAAAGGGACGGCUAACUACGUGC
rnacentral:rRNA from 1 species